GAUGAACGCUGGCGGCGUGCCUAAUACAUGCAAGUCGAACGGGGAGUAGCAAUACUCUUAGUGGCGAACGGGUGAGUAACGCGUUGGUACCUGCCCCGAAGCGGGGGAUAACGGACCGAAAGGUCCGCUAAUACCCCAUGUGCUCGGUAACGAGUAAAGGUGAAAACCACUUUGGGAGGGGCAUGCGUCCCAUCAGCUAGUUGGUAAGGUAACGGCUUACCAAGGCGAUGACGGGUAGGGGACCUGAGAGGGUGGCCCCCCACAAUGGAACUGAGACACGGUCCAUACACCUACGGGUGGGAGCAGUAGGGAAUAUUGGUAACGGGCGCAAGCCUGAACCAGCAACGCCGCGUGUGCGAUGACGGCCUUCGGGUUGUAAAGCACUUUUGACUGGGACGAGGAAGGACGGUACCGGUCGAAUCAGCCUCGGCUAACUACGUG
rnacentral:rRNA from 1 species